AUGGAACGGUGGAUCAAAGAGCACAGGGAAUAUUCAACGAAGCAGCUGACCAAUCUGGUGAAUGUUUGCCUGGGAUCCCAUAUCAAUAAGAAAGCAAGACAAAAACUUCUAGCAGCUAUAGAUGAUAUAGACAGACCUAAAAGAUAAUGAACACAGCUCUCUUUCCUCAAUGGCAUUGAUCCUCACUCAACAUAUAUGACCUGAAAGCCAGUUUUUUUAUGCACUUCUGACAACUAUCUGCUAAGAAAACUUUGUGCAUGUUUUUUUGACUGGAAAGUGGAAAAUAUUGAAAUGUGUGUGGUGUUCUCAUGACUUUUAUAUGCUGUGGUCUCUUCAACUUUUGGUCUCAUUUGUUGUAAUCUGAAAUGAUGUUGCCGCCUUGUCAUAACAAUGGUUAUGUGACUACAGUUAUACAUUUUACAGAAGAAUGUACCAUAAGUAUAUAAUUAGAAGAACAGUGGCUUAAUAUAUGUAUGGGAAGUUUAUGGAAAAUGAAGUUGGCACUUUUCUACCCUCUGAGCUUGGUUCUUAAUAAGCAUAAUGUGAGGGUGAAUAUGUAGUAUCUCCUAAUUAUGAGCACUGCAUGAGAAUUAAAAAACACAUGUAAGUAAAAUAGUUGAAAAAUCAGUAUGUUCUCUGUUUUUAAAAUGUCAAAGUUUAUGUCAGGGUUAAUUUAGUUAUAACAAAGUGAUCAUAAUGGUGAAAUUUAAUAAAUAUACUCUAGUA
rnacentral:lncRNA from 1 species